GCGAUUCUCCUGCCUCAGCCUCCCGAGUAGCUGGGAUUACAGGACUCCUUUAUGUGCAAGAGAAAGAAGUUCAACUCAGACUUCCGGAAACUUCAGUUAGAAAGGAAACAAGGAGAUGGUGUUGGCUGUAGUUCACACAACCAUAGUGGGCCUAGAAUGGAAGCCAUGUCUGGCAGAAGAGAAAGAAGGAGCCUAGAUCUCCAAGGAGCCUUCAUAUUAUAGCGGCUGAGAACAGGCUACCC